GUGUCAGCCGCCGCGGUAAUACGUAGGGGGCGAGCGUUGUCCGGAAUUACUGGGCGUAAAGGGUGCGUAGGCGGUCUGUUAAGUCAGAUGUGAAACUCCAUGGCUCAACUGUGGGCUUGCAUAUGAAACUGGCAGACUAGAGUGCAGGAGAGGGAAGUGGGAUUCCUAGUGUAGCGGUGAAAUGCGUAGAGAUUAGGAGGAACACCAGUGGCGAAGGCGGCUUUCUGGCCUGUAACUGACGCUGAGGCACGAAAGCGUGGGGAGCGAACAGGAUUAGAUACCCUGGUAGUCCACGCCGUAAACGAUGGAUACUAGGUGUAGGGGGUAUUAAGCCUUCUGUGCCGCAGUUAACGCAAUAAGUAUCCCGCCUGGGGAGUACGGCCGCAAGGCUGAAACUCAAAGAAAUUGGCGG
rnacentral:rRNA from 1 species